rnacentral:lncRNA from 1 species
CCUCCCAAGGUGCAGGGAUCUACUUGAAUUGCAGAAGACUUUGGAGAAGAUCAAACUGUGUGGCAGCCACGUAAAUGUGCUUCCCAUAUUUCCUUUCAAGAAAGAACCUGCUGUGAGGAGUGUAGUGAGCUGACAGAUGCCAGUUGCUGCAAAUUUGUGAUGCACUCCUUCCUUCUUUCCUCCUCUGUCUUCAGAGGUGUCAGACCUGGUGUCAAGUGUCAGACCUGCAUUGCAGUCCAAAGGUUCUCUCCAAUCUUCUUCUGUUUUCUCUCCCUUUUAUCCUUUACAGGUCCUUCACCCAAUAAAUCUCUUGUACAUCUAUUUCCAUUUUGGCUCCCACUUCUCAGAAGAUCUAAACCGAUGCACAAUGCCUGGGCCGUUUGAUGGCUGGGUUGGCAAACUAGCAGCUGCAGGAUUGUGUCAGGGAGAGUGAUCUUCAGGCACACACUUCUGCAGAAGAGAGCAGCUGAGCCUGGCACGAACCCUCGGAGUCAGUCAUCUCCCAUCGACCUGUUAUCGA